UAAAACGAAAAUUGGUAGCUGCAACUUCAACAUCAAACACAAAACCAAACACUUUUGAAAUAUUCAUCUUCAAAACCCCCAAAACUUCUUCAAUUGCGGGUUUCUUCAAUUCGAUCAUAAUCUGGUGGUUUGAAAGAUGAGCCAAAUAUGUAUGGUUGUAUCAAAUGGUGGUUCAUGGAAUAACGACAAGUAUGAGGGAGGGGGGGCAUCGUGAAUAUCUCCGUUUUCCAUCAUUGGGCAUGACAUUCAACACAUUACAAAAAAGUUAGAGAAUUCCAUUGAAGAUGAACGGACCAUGGAUGUGCAACCAAUUACAUCAAUGAAAUAUAAGGUUUCAUGUGGAACAAAGACGUAUGUGGUUGAUCUGAAUGCUAAGAUUUGCUUGUGUCGGGAAUUUGAUCUUGAUUUGAUUUCUUGCGCUCAUGCUGCCGCGGCAAUAAGUAAAUCAAAACAUAGUUUAUUUUCUGUGUCGAGCUACUACACAACAGAGACAUUGCGUGAGAUAUAUUCGGGUGAGGUGAUGCCAAUCUUGCAUCCAGAUGAGUGGUCUGUGCCUGUAGAAGUGAAAUCAAGACAAGUGUUGACACCACCUCAGCCUACACAGGCAGGACAUCCGCGGACAAGUAGAAUCGAAUCUUGUAGGUGAUUAUCUAGAGCUUGUUCGAGAUGCAACCAAAGCGGUCAUUACCGUUCCAAAUGCAAAGAGGCCAUUCCAAUAUCACAAGAUGAACACAUUGCUAGUAAUGAGUCAGAAGUUGUUGGGUCUCGUAGGCGCAAAUGUUGUGGCAUAUGUGGUGAAG